UACGUAGGGGGCAAGCGUUGUCCGGAAUCAUUGGGCGUAAAGAGCGUGUAGGCGGCCCGGUAAGUCCGCCGUGAAAGUCCAGGGCUCAACCCUGGAAUGCCGGUGGAAACUGCCGGGCUGGAGUCCGGAAGAGGCGAGUGGAAUUCCUGGUGUAGCGGUGAAAUGCGCAGAUAUCAGGAGGAACACCAAUGGCGAAGGCAGCUCGCUGGGACGGUACUGACGCUGAGACGCGAAAGCGUGGGGAGCAAACAGG
rnacentral:rRNA from 1 species